rnacentral:rRNA from 1 species
AGCUCCAAUAGCGUAUGCUAACAUUAUUGCAGUUGAAAAGCUCGUAGUUGAACUUAAAGCUUGGUAUUGUUUUCGCUUCUGGACUUCGGUUCAAGUGAUCGACCAGGUUUAAAAUUUGUAAGGAACUAUGCUGGACCUUCGUUGGUUUGGCUAGGAAAUUACAUCGUUUACUGUGAAAAAAUUAGAGUGUUUAAAGCAGGCAUUUUUGCCGUGAAUAUAUUAGCAUGGAAUAAUAAGAUAAGACUUGAGUACUAUUUUGUUGGUUUGCAUACUCGAGUAAUGAUUAACAGGAACAGUUGGGGGUAUUCGUAUUUAAGUGUCAGAGGUGAAAUUCUUGGAUUUCUGAAAGACGAACAAAAGCGAAAGCAUUUAUCAAAUAUGUUUUCAUUAAUCAAGAACG